rnacentral:rRNA from 1 species
UCUCAGUUCGGAUCGGAGUCUGCAACCCGACUCCGUGAAGCUGGAUUCGCUAGUAAUCGCGCAUCAGCCAUGGCGCGGUGAAUACGUUCCCGGGCCUUGUACACACCGCCCGUCAAGCCAUGGAAGCCGGGGGCGCUUGAAGUGCGUUGCCGCAAGGCGCGCCCUAGAGCGAAACCGGUGACUGGGGCUAAGUCGUAACAAGGUACC